GGUGAACGCUGGCGGCAGGCUUAACACAUGCAAGUCGGACGGGAAGUGGUUUUUCCAGUGGCGGACCGGUGAGCAACUCGCAAAAACCUGCCCUUUGGAGGGGAACAACAUCUGGAAACGGCUGCUAAUACCCCGUAGUCUGAGUAGCAAAAGGAGGAAUCCGCCCGAGGAAGGGCUCGCGCCUGAUUAGCUAGUUGAUGAGGCAAUAGCUUACCAAGUCGAUUAUCAGUAGCAGGUCAGACAGGAUGAUCAGCCACACUGGCACUGAGACACGGCACAGAAACAUACGAGAAGGAGCAGUAGCGAAUUUUACCCAAAGGGCGAAAGCCUAAAGGGGCAAUGGGGUGUAGAGGUAGAUGGCUUACGAAGAGAGAAAUUAUGUUCAUGGAGAAGAAGCAAGAACGGGAUCUAAGGAAAAAGAAUCGGCUAACUCGGG
rnacentral:rRNA from 1 species